rnacentral:rRNA from 1 species
CCUACGGGAGGCAGCAGUGGGGAAUAUUGGACAAUGGGCGAAAGCCUGAUCCAGCCAUGCCGCGUGUGUGAAGAAGGCCUUCGGGUUGUAAGGCACUUUCAGUGGGGAAGAAAGCCUUGGGGCUAAUACCCUCGAGGAAGGACAUCACCCACAGAAGAAGCACCGGCUAACUCCGUGCCAGCAGCCGCGGUAAUACGGAGGGUGCGAGCGUUAAUCGGAAUUACUGGGCGGAAAGCGCGCGUAGGCGGUCUGAUAAGCCGGUUGUGAAAGCCCCGGGCUCAACCUGGGAACGGCAUCCGGAACUGUCAGGCUAGAGUGCAGGAGAGGAAGGUAGAAUUCCCGGUGUAGCGGUGAAAUGCGUAGAGAUCGGGAGGAAUACCAGUGGCGAAGGCGGCCUUCCGGACUGACACUGACGCUGAGGUGCGAAAGCGUGGGUAGCAAACAGGAUUAGAUACCCCUGUAGUC